GUCACCUUAACACUCUUUAAUAUGUUGAUCAAAGAUUUGUAAUCUUUGAAGCUGAUUUGGAGGAUUUUUGACUGACUCCUUCCUUUGACAUGUAAAUCUCGAUCAGCGCCUCAGAUGCUUUUUCGUUCAGCACGCAGGUUUGUAGCCUGGGGUGAGUCUUAACUUGAGUUUCCAUCGAGGAUGUGAAAGAUGUUGUAGCUGCAGGUUGUUUUCAUAAUUAGCUCCACUCCGAGAGGCAGUGUUCACUCCAAAGGCAAACUUGCCUAAUUACCUUCCUCUGCGGCUGAUAUUGCUAUCUUUGUAAGAACCAAUUAGAGUCUAAAUAUUGCAUGGGCAUUUCCUUUAGGGUCUAGGAGCUUCAUGACUCGUUUAAAGGAUUAAAAUUAAGACCAGUGGCUGACAUUAGUUGUCCUAAGAAAAGUACAAGUGUUCCAACAAGUGGAAAUGUUCCUGUGCAGAUUCAAAUGGGCAGUCACGGCUGGUUCAUACCGAUGAAAACUUAACAGCAACCUUCCAAUUUAGGCACACUCCCCAUUGUAGCACUGCUGUUCACUUGUUGCAGUCUAGAGCCAUCUAGUGGCUAAACCAGGUAAGUGCAGUCUACAGUUCUAAGCUGCCCUCGUGUUUAGAGCUCAAAUUUAAAGAAUAAAGCAGCAAAAAUGUAAUUCUCUCUUAGUUUAUGUAAUUAAAUCAAUUGUUACUGAGAUUCAUUUUAUGCCACUGAUUUAUUGUUUUCUUUAAAUUAAAUAAUGAUACAUUUUAGCUCUACAUUCUUUGCAUGAAAAGAUUUGCAUGAAAAUAAGAGUGAUGAAUAUAUUUCAGUCUAACUAUUGUCACUGCUGAAAAACAAUAUAUCAAAAUCUUCGAAACAGGCAGAAAUUCUGGGGUCUGUGAGCUUAAAGUAAUAUGUGUAAUUAAUCAACUUGUUUUAACAGACAUACAAUCACGCUCAGUCGGUAUUUAAAGGGAGGACGAAAAACUAAAUCCACCUCAUGAUUCAGUAUCUUGUAGAACCAUAUUUAUCAGCAAUAACUUGAAUUAAUUAUUUUCUGCAUGGCUUCAUCGUUCUCUCAUAUUAUUGUGACUGAAUUUUGACCCACUUUUUAAAACUAUUGCUUCAAUUCACUGAGGUUUCGGUGAUUUAUACCGACCAUUAGCUGUCGGACAGGUGGCCUCACAUUUGACUCUAGAAUACUUUUGUAUACGGAGGAGUUCAUGGUCCACUCAGUGAUUCCCAGUGAUUCUCUCCACUGUGCUUGACAGUUUGUAUGAGGUAACAGACUUGUAAAUUAUCAAAUAAUCAAGUACAAAUGAAGAAUGGGCAAUGGCCUUAUUGAUCAGAAAUAAAAACCUUACAUUAUUAAUUAAAUGUUAAAAGGAAUCUACAUUUUCUAUAAAUACAUGUCACAUUCACAUCCAUACAGGGCCUCAUUCUGCACUUUCACACCUUUCUAAUCUGUCACUGACACAAUUAAUUUGGGGUUUCAGUAUCUUCCCAGGAACAUUUGAACAUGUGAACUAGAGGAGCUGUGAUUGGAAACAAAGUGGCGUACAUAAAAAGAUCUGAAAAUGUCAUGACCUUUAAACUACUGUGAUCACAUCUAGAGACACGCAGCAACAACCCAAGAAUAUAAAUCUCUUUUAGGAUGAAGACUGGGUUUAAGGUUAGGCUAAUAAAUGAAUGGAAGUCCUGUGUGUUAAGCUGGCACGGUAAAGUGAUUACUCAUAACAGUGUACUCGAACCUAAUUACACCCCCCUCUGCUCUGCCUUGUGUGGUCACUUUCUGCACACACACACACACACACACACCAGUAAAAGGGGGAACGAGGGACAUCAACACGAUACAUAAACAUGGCAGGUCACCCCUGCGAGGACUGCCAGCCCAUGACAACUUUUUUUUUUACAGCUUUUUGAGCAAAUGGCAGGAUGGCAUUUGACAUCUGGAAUGAAGCAUUACAAGUGACGCAACAUUUUUCUCCUUAUCUAACUCGCGUGAAGCAAACUAGGAAACAGGUUGUUUUUCUUCCUCAGCAAAGAGAGAAGCACAGAGGAUCAGACUGAGUAUGGACUGAGCAGCUUCCUCUGAGUGAGUCCAGCUACAGGAGAGAAAAGUGGAAAACUCCAGUACUGCUGCCUCAAGCUGCUGACGCUCCACACACUGAAUCUUCACUCACAGACUCAAUGGCUUCCAGAUCAGAGGAGGAUCUCUGCUGUCCGGUCUGUCAGGAGGUCUUCAGAGAUCCUGUUCUUCUGUCAUGUAGCCACAGCUUCUGUGAACACUGUCUGAAGAGAUGGUGGAGA